AACUCUUAACGGGGGAUCACUCGGCUCGUGGGUCGAUGAAGACCGCAGCAAACUGCGUGUCGGUUAUGUGAAUCGCAAGAAUACCAGAUACAUCGACAAGUUGAACGCAUAUUGCGGCGGCGGCAGCCAUAUGAGCUUGUCGCCGCCACUCCUCUACGAGGGUCG
rnacentral:rRNA from 1 species